rnacentral:rRNA from 1 species
UACGGAGGGUGCAAGCGUUAUCCGGAAUCAUUGGGCUUAAAGGGUCCGCAGGCGGCUUUAUAAGUCAGUGGUGAAAGCCUGCAGCUCAACUGCAGAACUGCCAUUGAUACUGUAAGUCUUGAAUUCGGUCGAAGUGGGCGGAAUGUGACAUGUAGCGGUGAAAUGCUUAGAUAUGUCACAGAACACCGAUAGCGAAGGCAGCUCACUAGGCCUGGAUUGACGCUCAGGGACGAAAGCGUGGGGAGCAAACAGG